rnacentral:rRNA from 2 species
UCGAACGAGUUCUGAUUAUUGAAAGGUGCUUGCAUCUUGAUUUAAUUUUGAACGAGUGGCGGACGGGUGAGUAACACGUGGGUAACCUGCCCUUAAGUGGGGGAUAACAUUUGGAAACAGAUGCUAAUACCGCAUAAAUCCAAGAACCGCAUGGUUCUUGGCUGAAAGAUGGCGUAAGCUAUCGCUUUUGGAUGGACCCGCGGCGUAUUAGCUAGUUGGUGAGGUAACGGCUCACCAAGGCAAUGAUACGUAGCCGAACUGAGAGGUUGAUCGGCCACAUUGGGACUGAGACACGGCCCAAACUCCUACGGGAGGCAGCAGUAGGGAAUCUUCCACAAUGGACGCAAGUCUGAUGGAGCAACGCCGCGUGAGUGAAGAAGGCUUUCGGGUCGUAAAACUCUGUUGUUGGAGAAGAAUGGUCGGCAGAGUAACUGUUGUCGGCGUGACGGUAUCCAACCAGAAAGCCACGGCUAACUACGUGCCAGCAGCCGCGGUAAUACGUAGGUGGCAAGCGUUAUCCGGAUUUAUUGGGCGUAAAGCGAGCGCAGGCGGUUUUUUAAGUCUGAUGUGAAAGCCCUCGGCUUAACCGAGGAAGUGCAUCGGAAACUGGAAAACUUGAGUGCAGAAGAGGACAGUGGAACUCCAUGUGUAGCGGUGAAAUGCGUAGAUAUAUGGAAGAACACCAGUGGCGAAGGCGGCUGUCUGGUCUGUAACUGACGCUGAGGCUCGAAAGCAUGGGUAGCGAACAGGAUUAGAUACCCUGGUAGUCCAUGCCGUAAAC